GCCGAAGUGGUGAAAUUGGUAGACACGUCAGACUCAAAAUCUGAUAGAGGCAACUCUGUGUCGGUUCGAGUCCGACCUUCGGCACCA
rnacentral:tRNA from 1 species